rnacentral:ncRNA from 1 species
UUUAAAGUUUUAUUCUGGCUUAAGGCUUUUGUUAUCGGCUUAAAGAUGCAUGUAAACAUUUGGUGGGACUAUAAUUAAACUAAAUUAAAUAUUUAUAAUAAAUAGUAAAAAAUUUUUUUAUAUCGUAUAAAGUCGCAGCAUCUAGUACUGGUGUAAUAAAUUAAAGUUAGACCCGAUGAUGUCGAAUUGUACCCGGCCAAAAUUGUGCCAGCAGCCGCGGUUACACUAGGGGGUAAAAUAAAAGAAAAUUGGUUAAAAAUGCUUAAGUGGUAAUACUAUUUAAGCAAUUAUUUGUAUUAAUAAAGGGUAGAAUCAAUCUUUUAAUGUAUAAAAAAUUGCUCAAUAUAAUGUCAACUGAAGUCGUUAAGGUUAAGAAAUGAACCAGGAUUAGAUACCCUGUUACACUUUUUUAAAAAUAAAGUACCUGGGUAUUAAAAAGUUAUUAGCUCGAAACUCAAAGAAUUUGGCGGUAGUUUAGUCUAGUUAGAGGAACCUGUCCUGUAAUCGAUAAAACACGAAAUAUCUUACUUUAUUUUGUACAGUCAGUUUGUAUACCGUUAUUAUUAGAUAACUUCACUAGAAUUUCUAGUUAUUGAAAAAGCAGUUGCUAAUAUAUUAGAUCAAGGUGCAGCUAAUAAUAAAGAAGAGAUGGGUUACAAUAAAUUUGUUUAUACGGAUCUAAAAGAGAACUCUUUUAGUAAAGGAGGAUUUAAAAGUAAAUAAAUAUUUAAUAAGGUUUUUUGAUUAUAGCUCUAAACUAUGUACACAUUGCCCGUCGCUCUCGUUAAUAAAGCGAGAUAAGUCGUAACAUAGUAAGUGUACCGGAAGGUGUACUUAGAAAUU